GUUAACUUAAUGGAUGUUAAAAGCAUACCUUAGUUCGAGCGCGGUUUCACACAUUACGCAGGGCACUAUUUACAAUAAACAAUAACAGAAAUUAAUGGCGUUUAUAAUUGUAAGUAUAUUUAUUUUCAGUUGCCAAAUUACUAAGAGAAAAUAGAUAAUAACAGUGUAUCACGAUAAUAAUAUGUAUUAUUAUAAUACCAACAAUAAUGAUGGUAAACUUGAAUAGGCUAAUAAAAUAGUAAUAAUAAUCUCUUCUCCGUUCCCGGAGGAGUGUUUAAUCACAACUGAUCACUGAUACCGUGAUAUCAACCUCGCCUUGUUGUGUGGCUGGCUCCCCUGUUGCAAAAGUUCGAGUCCCAGGGUGUGAGUUUCGUAUCACGUGACAACAACAAGUCCAAAGCGCCCGGCAGAGAUGGAGACCAGAGUACCCGGGACCUGUCAACCCUCCACCUGGGGGCCUCGCUGUUCCGCUGGCCGGACCACCUCCAUAUCCGACGAUGGGCUGCGAACUCAUAAACAGGACAUUCCUUUGCUUUUCCAUUUUCCCCUCCAAAGUUUCGGUUUCUGUAUUUUAUCCACUGAUCAGAACAUUGUUUCCGUUGUAUAACUUGUUUUUUUAACCUCACCCUGAAUGUCAUGCGUAGAUGGUGGUUGACUUGGGUUAGAAGGAAGGGUCUUAAAAUGGCCACUAGAUGGCGACGUAAAACCGUUGGCGGCAAUAUUUCACCCGUUUAGUCUAAAGUCGAUCAAAUACAUGGAGCAGUCACGGUGGUUUACCGAAAUGGGGUGACGUCAAACCAACGUUCCCAGAUUGGUCCUAUUCUCAAGACGGAUCAUUUAUCUGGUGACAGCAACAGUUAAACGCUUCUCAGUUGGAUACAUAACCACAACACUGACUACAUAAUGACUAGCCAAGACACAUUACGGUUAAAAUGUUGAAAUACAAACUAAAAAUUUCCCAGAUGAAUAUAGAUAAGGCAGAGAUAACCACAAUCCUGUUCGAGCUCUUAAAACUAAACCACAACACCCAGGGCCUGACCAGUGCUGCAGUGCCCGACCAGUGCUCUGACGUUCCUGCAGCUUCUCCUCGGAUCAGAGCAGAUGUUCUGAAGGUCCAGAUUAUCUGGAGGUCAAGAUGUUGUGGAAGUCCAGAUGUUGUGGAGGUCCAGAUGUUGUGACGGUCCACCGACGCAGAUGCAACGUUCCCCAGUGUCAUAACCGAUUUCAAAUGGUGCUAGAAGGCUAGACUUACUCUAUGCACCAGAGGAAACCAGUCAUCUGUGAGUGGGGAAAAAUAUAGCGUACGGUGGAGAUAGGAGUCCUUUCUGUCGCUGUAGAGGCCAGAGGGAGUCCUCUCUGUCUGUCUCUGGUUGCCGGUCACCCCCUUCGGUGGGAUCCUCUCUCCCCAAGAACACUGAUUUCAAAUGGUGCUAGACAACAGGAACUCAAAUCUAAACCACCACGUGAAACCAGCAUCUGGGGGAAGGGUUUAGCGGUCGCACGAGGGUGGCUGCAGUGGAUCACAGUGGUGGUGUAAUCAUAAGGUACACGCUGGGUUUACCUCCAUUACUGCAUCGUAACCCAUCAGAGUUAAAAACAAGGUCCUGUUCGAAUCCAAGUGAAAACAUAGAUGAAGGCCGAGGGUUCUGUGAGAUGCGGUUGCCAUGACAGCAUAAUCACAGCAGCAGAAAUUCUCUGCCCUUCAUGGCACAAUCAUUAUUUUUAUAGAUACACCAAUACAUAAAUAAAUAAAACAUAAUAGUGAUAAUUUCUGGGAAAACGUUCACAAUACGUCUUGGUUUUCUUUUACAUAACAAGCAUGAGACGAUUAUCACACGUUACACAACAUAUAUGCAACUAGGGACACACAUUAUUUCCCACAGGAUUAUUAUGGUUCAAAUUCAUAUUCGACUCAUCUGAAUCUGAAUAACAAGUAUCGUACACAACAAGCACUCAAGCCCUCAGAUAAACCUGCCUGAGGCAGAACGCAGACAAUUCUAGAAAGCUUACUUACAAUGGGAAGCUCUCCAUGUUGUUGAGCUCAUUCAAUCAUGUUUGUGUAUGCGUGCAAUUGUCUGUGUGUGUGUGUGUGUGUAUAUAAUGUGUCCAUAAGUGUGUGUGUGUGUUUUAGCGAAUGUGUGUAUGUUUGGCUACCUGCAUGUGAGCACACACAUGGGAUGACGUGUGUGAUGAAGUGGUAUUUGGU
ensembl:lncRNA